rfam:Arabidopsis thaliana chromosome 5, complete sequence.
AAGAAUGAGGAAGACGAUGACGAAUUGGAAGUUCCAGUGAUGUGAAAAACUCAGGUGAAAAAGACGAGUUGAAAAAAAGAUGUUUCGUAUUUCUUUUAAUGAUGAUGAAAU